UACGUAGGAUGCAAGCGUUAUCCGGAUUUAUUGGGCGUAAAGAGCGCGUAGGCGGAUUGGUAGGUCGCGCGUGAAAGGCGGGGCUCAACCCCCACACGUCGCGCGAUACCGCUGGUCUUGAGGCAGGCAGGGGUGGUGGAAUUCCGCGAGGAGUGGUGAAAUGCGUAGAUACGCGGAGGAACACCAGUGGCGAAGGCGGCCACCUGGGCCUGUCCUGACGCUGAGGCGCGAAAGCCAGGGGAGCGAACGGG
rnacentral:rRNA from 1 species